rnacentral:misc_RNA from 1 species
UACUGGGGUAUAGCUGUCAUCAGUCAUCAACACACAUGAAACAUUUUUUUUUUACAUAUCUCUCUUAUUCCAAUCUUCGCGAGCUAUCUCAAUCGCAAAUAAAACCCGUCAGGUAGACUCCUUCCUGUUAUUUAACAGUAAAGUGAACGGGUUCGUCAAAUACGCUGACCUUGCUGAUCGAUACAUGGAUCGAUUGAUUGACUGAUUGAUUGAUGGUGUGAUUACUGUCAUUGCAGUUCAGUGCAUCUUAAUUUGAGUAUGCCAUGACCUACAUGUAGUCAUAAGAUAUGUGCUCUCGCCUUAUCAAAGCUAAUAACCAAAUGGCAGGUAUUAAAGUUUCUUUUGAAACAUCGUAACGGACGAUAACUCUCUAGAAUCAAACACGAGAUCCUCAAAGAGCAUACGGCAUCUGCUUAAUGGCGGGAAGGUGAACACAAGCUGUUUAAUAGUUGAAAAUCAUUUGUUUUAAUUUUUCGAGGUAAUGGAAUCGAUUAAACAAUUGGUGGCUGUGUUUUAACGUCGCCACAUGAAAUUACAUUAACUAGUAGCUCGUCAGAGUAAUUUGAGAGGAGCAAAAUCAGUUUAUAGCUAUGGCACGAUAUGCAUAAGAUGUUUGUUAUAGCCUCAUAAUACUUUGCAUUUCCAAGUUUGAAAGAAAGUAAAAUUUCCUGAAAUGGUCCCUCGGUGAAGAAUUUUACGAAGAAAGGUCCCAAGAUUGUGAAACGCGUAAUUUUUCAUCUUCUUUUUCCCAGGAGCGAAGAAAAGGACCUGUCCACCUUCUGUUUUUCCGAUGUGGCAGCAUAAUCUGAUUACUUACCGUACGUCUAAUUCCUCUCUCUUGAUACGUGAUAUAAAUUACAGACUGAUUGAGUUGGUGACAUGAACUUGAUUUAAUUUGUGUUGAACUUUGCUAACUCGCAUAGCCUCAGGUGACCUGGAAAAUCGCCAUUUUUGCAAGAUUGAUUGAUUGUCAUUUGCUGAGUCACUAGGAAAAUAGCUCCUGAAAAUAGGCCGAUGUUUCUCGUCUUUAGUCAAGAGUUUGUAAUCUAUAUAUGAAUGAUAGUAAAUGAGAUUAUUUCUUUGAUUCAACAAUAAUUUAUAAGACUAUUAAUCGCCCCUGGUCAUGCAAUAACGAAUUACAUUUGAAGGAACAUAUUUACAUAGCCAUAUCAUAGCUAUUCAUGCAACUGGCGGAAGGAUAUCAAUCAUUUGUAGGCCAGCGACGUAUUUUGCAAUGGCUACACUAAGAUAUUGAACAGUUGGAAAUAUUUAACGAGAUGAAUCAUUUCCAAUAAGAUGCCUUGUAUAUCGGUUCUUAAGACUACACGAAAGUACGCCUUAUUAUAUCAUUUCAGAUAUAUAAGAUUAACAUAUCAUAUGCCUGAUAACGAAAUCUAUCCCAAUUUUUGUUUCUACGCUAUAUGCAGUUCUCACGUGCUUGCAUGAUGUAUUCAAACAAAGGUCAGCCCUAACGGUUUUUUGUUAUCCAAUUAGGAAUUUCAUCUUUUCUUAAAAAAAUCGCGUUAUCCAAUUAAACAUUUCCUCAUUUACUGCCACGGAUAAGCAGUCUUGAACGGGACCCUCGUGACGGCCAUUCUCUUUAAAAUUGACACCAUUAGUGCUGUCUCUGGAUAUAAGGGAAGGAAUUGACUACUAUGACAAGUGUGCAUAAAACUACACGCAAUCAGCAGUAGGUGCAGUCCUUGCACCCUAUAUAAGAACUUACCACCAAGGUCGUCGUCAAUAAACUAUUUUUUCGCAUCGAGAUAUGUAUUUCCUAGUUAAAAAAAGCAACAACAUAUGCUCUUUUGUCAGUUCUUAUGAGGAGAGCGAAGGAGGCGGUUUAAAAGGUGUUUGCAUCCGAUAAGGCGAAAAAAAAGAACAACCGAGAAAAAGACUUGCAUGUUCUUAGCGAUCCAUCUUUAAUGUGGAUUCCUCUUUUAUCAAGUGGAAGAUAUCUCCGGAUGGGGAAGUAGGCUCAUCAAAAACGUUGAAAUUAAACUUUUUUUUUUUUUUUUUAUCGGUACAUAGUGUGCAUGGAUCGAUCAAUUUAUGUUGUGACUGCUUGGCCCUUGAUUGAGAUUCCACUAUGAUGCGUUUUAUACUCCACUCAGACACAAAAUGACAAUGCCAUAACUUAAAUAAUCACGAGACAUGCGCUCCCUUUUUAUCAAGGAAAAUAAUCAGACGAAUAGGAUUAAGGUUUCUUUUGAAACAACUCAUUGAACGAUAACACUCAAAAAUCAAAACACAAGAUCCUCAAAUAGCUUACAGUAUCUGCUCGAUGCGGAAUGGAUGGAGAUAUGCUGUUUAAGUGAAGUGGCAUUUCAUAAUUGUGUGAAUUAAAUGAGUUGGUUAAACAAUCGGUGGCCUUGCUCAUACGAAGACAAAAGUCUCGCUUAACAUCUUUGAGUGCAUUAUUUACAGAUUGUUUUAAGCGACUUAAAACUUUUGAAUUUCUUUUCAGAGGUAAAAUCAUAAUUUAUGUAUUGUAGUAGUUUAAAAAGCGUGUGCAAGAAAAUUAAUUAUUCCGUUGUCAUAGCGGGAGAUACAUGAGGUGUUAGUAAAUGGCAGAAUACGCUGCAUUUUCAAAGUUGAGGGGAAAGAAAUUUUCCUUGAAGGGCAAACUGGGGGAACAUUUCAAGAAGAAAAGCUCUGAGAUCGUGAAAUGCUUUUAACCAAUUAAUUUUUAUCUUUUUUUGGUUUGUUUUUUCGCUUUCCCUUUCUCUAUUCUAUGCUCUCUUUUAUUUUGUUUUGUUUGUUUGUUUGUUAGUUUGUUUUUUUUUGUGUGUGUGUGUGUACACUUAAAAUAGACCACCCGUUUUGUUUCCAAAUUGGCGACCUAAUCUGAUUUUUGAUGGAAAAUUCCAUCUCAGCGGAAACGAAUUGCAGACUUGUUCAGUUUGUGGCUUCACCUUAAUAAGAAUUGCGUUGAACUUUGCCAACUCACUUUUAAGUGAAUUAAAAUUCAGGCGAGAUCGAAAAGCGAUCACUCUCACGAGAUGUCCGGUUGUCAAUUACUGAGCAACUAGUAAAUCGCUUUUGAAAUCAC